rnacentral:tRNA from 1 species
GGUCCCGUGGUGUAGCGGUUAGCACUCAUGACUCUGAAUCCUGCGACGGGAGUUUAAAUCUCCUCAGGACCU